rnacentral:rRNA from 1 species
AUUGAACGCUGGCGGCAUGCCUUACACAUGCAAGUCGAACGGCAGCACGGGAGCAAUCCUGGUGGCGAGUGGCGAACGGGUGAGUAAUGUAUCGGAACGUACCUUUCAGUGGGGGAUAACGUAGCGAAAGUUACGCUAAUACCGCAUAUUCUGUGAGCAGGAAAGCAGGGGAUCGCAAGACCUUGCGCUGAUUGAGCGGCCGAUAUCAGAUUAGCUAGUUGGAGUGGUAACGGCACCCCAAGACAGCGAUAGAUAGGGGCCCUGAGAGGGGGAUCCCCCACACUGGUACUGAGACACGGACCAGACUCCUACGGGAGGCAGCAGUGAGGAAUAUUGGACAAUGGGCGAGAGCCUGAUCCAGCCAUGCCGCGUGCAGGAAGACGGCCCUAUGGGUUGUAAACCGCUUUUGUCAGGGAAGAAACGCUCUGGGCUAAUACCCUGGGGUAAUGACGGUACCUGAAGAAUAAGCACCGGCUAACUACGUGCCAG